GUUAAUGAAGCUAACUAGGUUGAGCAUCAGUCUAAAGACUCUCUGAAUAAUGAAGCAAGAACUCCUGGUACAAGCACAAAGGUGGAAACUCUUCUGAACAGCCUCAGAAUGAGACAGGCACACAGCCCUGAGCUGAGCACUUGGCAGCCAUACCCAGUAGUGGCCCGGGGGCCACAUAAGGUGUCCUGACUCUAAGUACAAAGAACUCAUUCCUGUCCGGGAAACACAUGAACUUGGACACUGCUUAAAAAAAGGAAAGAGCCCUCCCAUCCCCAACUGGAGCCCAGUACAGGGACGAUAAAGAUGCUGACCCUAAGGACUGUUGUAAAGAUUAAACUGGAUCAAGCACAUGAAAGCAAGACAUGAGUAGUAAAGCCCUGAGCCUGAGGAAGUAGAGGGUCCAGCCCACAGACAAUGAGGGAAGAGCAGGCCAAUGUCUCAACUCACCGCCAUCACCUCUUCUUAUGCACAACAGAAAGCUUGUGCUUGGCU